UACGGAGGGUGCAAGCGUUACUCGGAAUCACUGGGCGUAAAGCGCGCGCAGGCGGGCUGAUAAGUUGGAUGUGAAAGCCUACGGCUCAACCGUAGAACUGCAUCCAAAACUGUCAGUCUAGAGUCUGGGAGGGGAAGAUGGAAUUAGUUGUGUAGGGGUAAAAUCCGUAGAGAUAACUAGGAAUACCAAAAGCGAAGGCGAUCUUCUGGAACAGUACUGACGCUGAGGCGCGAAAGCGUGGGGAGCAAACGGGAUUAGAAACCCGAGUAGUCC
rnacentral:rRNA from 1 species